GAUGAACGCUAGCGGCAGGCCUAAUACAUGCAAGUCGAACGGUGUCUUCGGACAUAGUGGCGCACGGGUGCGUAACACGUAUGCAACCUACCUUACAUUGGGGGAUAGCCUUUCGAAAGGGAGAUUAAUACCGCAUAAGACAGUAGCUGGGCAUCCAGCAGCUGUUAAAGAUUUAUCGAUGUAAGCUGGGCAUGCGUCCAAUUAGCUAGUUGGUGAGGUAACGGCUCACCAAGGCAAUGAUUGGUAGGGGAACUGAGAGGUCAAUCCCCCACACUGGCACUGAGAUACGGGCCAGACUCCUAUGGGAGGCAGCAGUAGGGAAUAUUGGGCAAUGGACGCAAGUCUGACCCAGCCAUGCCGCGUGCAGGAUGAAGGCGUUAUGCGUUGUAAACUGCUUUUAUACAGGAAGAAACGACUCUUGCGAGAGGCAUUGACGGUACUGUAUGAAUAAGCACCGGCUAACUCCGUGCCAGCCGCCGCGGUAAUAC
rnacentral:rRNA from 1 species